GUUCGGAUUGCAGGCUGCAACCCGCCUGUAUGAAGUUGGAAUCGCUAGUAAUCGCGGAUCAGCAUGCCGCGGUGAAUACGUUCCCGGGCCUUGUACACACCGCCCGUCACACCAUGAGAGUCGGGAACACCCGAAGUCCGUAGCCUAACCGCAAGGGGGGCGCGGCCGAAGGUGGGUUCGAUAAUUGGGGUGAAGUCGUAACAAGGUACC
rnacentral:rRNA from 1 species